rnacentral:lncRNA from 1 species
GCAAGUACUCAUGCAGAAAGAGCUUGAGAGGCAUAAAGAAAUGCUCGAGGAAUCAUCCAAAUAUCAACUUCACCUAAAAGAGCAAGCUUUGCAGAUGGAAAGCAACUUAAAAGCAAGACUAGAAGAAGCUUGUGAUGACUUGGACAGAGCAAAUUCUGAACUGGUUAAAGCCCAGGCAGAUUCUGAAAAAGAACGUGAGAAGGUGGCAUCACUGUUGAGGAGGGUUGAGUCCUUGGAUCUUGUCGAACAGCAGCAAUUACUAAUGCAGAAAGAGCUUGAGAGGCUUAAAGAAAUGUUUGAGGAAUCAUCCAAAUAUCAACUUCACCUCAAAGAGCAAUCUUUGCAGAUGGAAAGUAAUUUAAAGGCAAGACUAAGAGAAGCUUGUGAUGCCUUGGACAGAGCAAAUUCUGAACUGUCUGAGAAAAUUUGUGAAGGAAGUGAAACUGAAUUUGAAUUGCAG